rnacentral:tRNA from 1 species
CCUCUCGUGGCGUAGGGGUAAGGCGCUCUAAUCAGAGAUCAGGGAGUCGUGAGUUCGAUUCUCACCGAGAAGA